UACGGAGGUUGCAAGCGUUGUUCGGAUUUACUGGGCGUAAAGGGAGCGCAGGCGGUCGACUCAGUCUAAAGUGAAAGUCCGGGGCUCAACCCCGGAAGUGCUUUGGAUACUGGUUGACUUGAGUAUGUGAGAGGAGAGCGGAAUUCCAGGUGUAGCGGUGAAAUGCGUAGAUAUACGGAGGAACACCAGAGGCGAAGGCGGAUCGCUGGGCCAACACUGACGCUGAGACGCGAAAGCUAGGGUAGCAAACGGGAUUAGAUACCCUAGUAGU
rnacentral:rRNA from 1 species